GAUGAACGCUGGCGGCGUGCCUAAUACAUGCAAGUCGAGCGAACGGACGAGAAGCUUGCUUUUCUGAUGUUAGCGGCGGACGGGUGAGUAACACGUGGAUAACCUACCUAUAAGACUGGGAUAACUUCGGGAAACCGGAGCUAAUACCGGAUAAUAUUUUGAACCGCAUGGUUCAAAAGUGAAAGACGGUCUUGCUGUCACUUAUAGAUGGAUCCGCGCUGCAUUAGCUAGUUGGUAAGGUAACGGCUUACCAAGGCAACGAUGCAUAGCCGACCUGAGAGGGUGAUCGGCCACACUGUAACUGAGACACGGUCCAGACUCCUACGGGAGGCAGCAGUAGGGAAUCUUCCGCGAAGGGCGAAAGCCUGACGGAGCAACGCCGCGUGAGUGAUGAAGGUCUUCGGAUCGUAAAACUCUGUUAUUAGGGAAGAACAUAUGUGUAAGUAACUGUGCACAUCUUGACGGUACCUAAUCAGAAAGCCACGGCUAACUACGUG
rnacentral:rRNA from 1 species